rnacentral:siRNA from 1 species
UAAUGGUUUUAGUGGUUUACCCA